rnacentral:lncRNA from 1 species
AACGCCAAUGAUCCUCUGACACGGUGAAAUCCCCUGAAUGUCGUGAGUAGCUAUCCUCCGCACCAAAUCUGUCAUACAGAAAACGCUGAGAGAUCACAUGGCCAGAUGUCAGCUCAUCUUGUACCACUCUGCGCCUCAAUCCUGUGAGAGUCAUGAAUCUCCUACUCAUGUCUCCCAAAACCAUGUGCACGCAAGGUCUGUCUAAGGGCAGCAUCGUCAAACGUGCAUACUCCUCUAGAGUAGGAGUCAACUCAUG